rnacentral:lncRNA from 1 species
AAAGUACCAACUCCAUAGCAUUUCUCAUUUUCUAUUCUAAUCUAGAUACAACAUGGAAACUGCCGGCAAGUGACGAGCAUGUUUAAAUGACUUAAGGCAUAGAAAGGCCUGCGCAACCGUAUUACCCACAGAAAGAUAGAUAUAAGUUCUGAAAUUUAGUGGAAAACAGGCAACUUUUAAAAAUGGUGAAAACAACAAUUUUUGGCCUGGCAAAAUCUCAAAACAAUGGACUGAGAACACUAGUCACUAGAUAAGCAGAUGACAUUUGGAACAUCAGUAAAAAAGUUUACAAUUUGUAUCAAACAUUUCGAAGUACAAAACAACNNNNNNNNNNNNNUAGCAAAUUUUCAACUGUCAAAAAAUGUCAAGGGAACUGUGUUUUUAGUCGGGAAGGAUUUGCUCGCCGUCAGCAUCUCCCUCGGUCUCAAUCUUAGGCUUUGAGGGGCCUGCU